CAUGUCCUUGGCCAUAAGAAAAAUUCAGAGAAGAAAUCUGGAGAUGGUGAGAAAACAGCCUGCAUGCAGACAUAGAUGGCCCUCACACUGUAACCUGGAUUCAAAAUCAUGGAUAUUUCAAGGUUUCUUGAGGGGUGUUUACUGAUCUCAUCGUAGAGAAACUAUAUCAAAAAUGUAGCUGACGAUGCUCUCAUUUCUGCAAAAGAUUUAAGUUGUAUAGGACACAGGGUAUUCUUUGUGAAAUAACUAUGCAUCUUUACAGUCCAUUAAUUGGCAAUCAGCACCAAUGUCUGCAACCAUGUAUAAUUCCAAAGCAUCUUGUCAACAGCAGACAAAUGGGCCAAAAUUAUUGAAGCUUUCCUUUUGUCACUGUAAUUACAAGCAGAGGUUCAAGAAAGAACUCUAAACUGCUUGCCACCUCCUUUCUCUUCUCUUACAUCUUCCUCACCACCUCAGACUUUGGGGGGAAAACAACCACAGGAUAAGAUACAAACAACCAUGACAUUUCCAUAAAGAAAUGACUGAAAAUAUGGG